CCUACGGGCGGCUACAGUGAGGAAUAUUGGUCAAUGGACGAGAGUCUGAACCAGCCAAGUAGCGUGAAGGAUGACUGCCCUAUGGGUUGUAAACUUCUUUUAUAAAGGAAUAAAACGAGGCACGUGUGCCUUUUUGCAUGUACUUUAUGAAUAAGGAUCGGCUAACUCCGUGCCAGCAGCCGCGGUAAUACGGAGGAUCCGAGCGUUAUCCGGAUUUAUUGGGUUUAAAGGGAGCGUAGAUGGGUUGUUAAGUCAGUUGUGAAAGUUUGCGGCUCAACCGUAAAAUUGCAAUUGAUACUGGCAGUCGUGAGUACAGUUGAGGUAGGCGGAAUGCGUGGUGUAGCGGUGAAAUGCUUAGAUAUCACGAAGAACCCCGAUUGCGAAGGCAGCUUACUAAACUGUGACUGACAUUGAUGCUCGAAAGUGUGGGUAUCAAACAGGAUUAGAUACCCGAGUAGUC
rnacentral:rRNA from 1 species